GGGGGGGGGAUAUAGUAAUUGGUCCUGUUUGUCUGUCCAUCCGGCCAAAACUUUGUCCGGAGCAUUACUCCAAAUCUAUGCAAUGGAUUUACUUUAAACUUGAAAUAUAAACAGAUGGCAACUAGGAGAAGUGCAGUGACCAAGAACCACAACUCUAUCUACCUUAGUUUUUUAAUAUCUCCCCUUUUAUAUAAUUUUAAAGUAAAUUUUUGUCCGAAGCAUAACUCUAAAUCUACUGAAGGGAUUUACUUGAAACUUAAAAUAUAAACAGAUGGCAACUAGGAAAAGUGCAGUGACUAAGAACCAUAACUCUAUCUACCUUAGUUUUUGAAUUAUCUCCCCUUUUAUAUUAAUUUAAAGUAAAUUUUUGUCCGGAGCAUAACUCUAAAUCUACUAAAGGGAUUUACUUGAAACUUAGAAUAUAAACAGAUGGCAACUAGGAGAAGUGCAGUGACCAAGAACCAUAACUCUACCUACCUUAGUUUUUUUUAGUUAUCUCCCUUUUUAUAUAACUUUAAAGUAAAUUUUUGUCCAAAGCAUAACUCUAAAUAUACUAAAGGUGUUUACUUGAAACUUGAAAUAUAAACAGAUGGCAACUAGGAGAAGUGCAGUGACCAAGAACCACAACUCUAUCUACCUUAGUUUUUUUAAUUAUAUCCCCUUUUAUAUAAUUUUAAAGUAAAUUUUUGUCCGGAGCAUAAUGAAUUAUCUCCCUUUAUUUGUUUUUACAAAUAUUAUUCUACUCUCUAAAACAAAUGUUGUCAUACAAGGAAACACAUUUCGGCGGGGAUUCGGCACUACUGUGACAAGCUCUUGUUAUUUUUGUAAUACACUAAACAUGAAACCUUUGAAUGUUUUUUUUAAUAUUUUUUGCUACUUGUUUUUCCACAGCUUGUUCAUGAGCACUCUCUAGCAAUUGUUGUCAUUGCGAUCCAGUUUGGAAUACGCCAGACAUAAGAUGUGUUUGAUUCUUGUUUUGUGUAAGCCCCAUAAGGACAGCAUAUAGUAAAUCAAUCCAUCCAUCCCUCUCUCUCCAUCAGUCAGAGCGAGAUUUUCAAGAUAGGUUGAAUCCGCUUGAAGUCCUGUCGGACGAAGAGGUUUUUUGGCGGUAUCGUUUCCAAAGUAAAAAUCUUUCAUGCCAAAUAUCUGAGCUAUAGGCCUUGCGGUUUCAUAUUAGAUUUAUGAAGUUUUUUCUAUAUUCACAUAAGGAAAACUUUCAGUUGCCAUAGUAACCAGAGUUUUGAAUAGAUUGGCGUAGCAGUUUAGGGGGUUGAUGUUGUUGCAGUAAAAAUGUUGACGGACGAUGCACAACGACGGACAAAGACUUCCACAGUAGAUCAUUAUCAGCUUAAAUUCCAUCACUUGAACCGACCGAAAUGUAUAGAGCUGUAUGCCCCCUCUUCUUCGAAAAAAAACCUUUGGCUUGGAUGAGCUAUAAUAAAUGAUAUGACUAUGACAAUGAGAACAUAUGACUAGUUUGAUUUAUAUUUUCAUGAUAUUGAAAUAGAGAUAUGCAUGGAAACUUAACAAAAAAUAAUACAUAUUGCUUUGUAUAAAAAACAAAAAAAACAUAACAAGGAAAAUUGAAUAAAAAAAAAAAAUUGUCAAGAUAUAACAAAGUUAUCACAGAAAAUAAAUUUCUUUACAGUAAUCAUUUGUAGAUAUUUGCAAAUAGUUGUAAAGUUGAUAAAUUGUGCGUACAUAGAUACUAACAAUUAAUGUAAAGUUGAUAAAUUGUGUGUUCAUCAAGUAUUGAAAUUAGUGUAAAGUUGAUAAGUGUUGUGUACAUAUCAAAUUAAUAACAAUUUUCUAUUUGCUUCAAGAGAAGUGUUUUGUUUAGUUCAUGUAAUUCGUUUUCUUUGACCAUUUUAUUUUUAUAAUAAAGCUGCUUUGCCUCCCAAGCUCGAACCUUGCUGGUUAUUCGCUUGCUUUCCAGCUCUUACAAUUCAUCCUGUUCAUCAUUUUGUUUCUUCAUCGAUUUCUUGCCUGCAUGAUAAUAAAACACAGUAUAUGAUAGUAUUUGCUUUGUGAUAGAUGAUGCUUUAAAAUGAAAAUACCUUCUUUUUUUAAACAAGUUCUGUUUUGAUUAUGGUGAUUUGUUAUGAAAAGCGUGUUAACAAUUAUUUAACAUUCAGACAUACAUGUAUUGUUUUAAUUAGUAUUGAAGUGGCUUACAAUCACCUCUGUUUUUCUCUGGAGUCACUCCUGUUGACACAUCUGACUCAACGAGUAUCUCGUAUCUGUUAGAAAAUUAUUGACCGCUUCGAACCUCCUUGGGAUCUGUACCAGGCAUUAAUUACCUUUAUGGAAUUACAGACGUGGAUGGGACCCCGUGUCCAACCAUGCCAUCUAGCCGUAGACAAAUUGUAUGAAAAAUAAGGGCAUUGUAGACAAUUAAAGCGGCGCCGAAUAGCCACCCGUAACCAUAUCCAAUAUUCUUGAUACUUCCUUAAAGUAAGAAAUAUUUCUGUACUGCAUCCCGGUACCUGGCAGGUAAAAGGACCUACAACCAGAACAUUGGGCAAGCUAAGUCGGUACACUUGUCUGUAAAAAUAAUUUAACUUGAUACAGUCAAUUCAAAAAGAUUAACGAACCAAUAGCCAUGUAUUUACCGGUAACUACACAAAAAUCAAAAUAUAAACUACAAAAUGUUAAUAUACACGUUAAAUGUGUUUUGUUUUCAGCACUUAAUGAUGUCAGAACUGAUGCUGUUGAUGUGACCAUUGAUGGUUUAUUUUCCUGUCCACCUUAACAUUAUGUAAUUUUUUUAUAAACGUUUUUUCCUUGGCAUGUUAUUAUACCCCCACAAACGAAGUUUAGAGGGUAUAUAGGAGUGAGCUUGUCGGUUGGUCUGUCUGUCUGUCGGUCCGUAUUAAGUGUCCGCGCUCUAAUUCAAGUUGUUUUCAUCCGAUCUUCACCAAACUUGGUCAGAUGUUGUAUCUAGAUGAUGUCUAGGUCAAGUUUGAAUAUUGGUCAUCUUCUGCAUGGUCAAAAACUAGGUCAUGGGGUCACUUAGUGCGUUUAAAAGAUUCAGCAUGGUGUCCGCUCUCUAAAUCAAGUAGUUUUUAUCCGAGCUUCACCACACUUGGUCAGAAGUUGUAUCUAGAUGAUGUGUAGGUAAAAUUCGAACAUGGGCCAUGCCAGGUCAAAAACUAGGCCACAGGGUCACUUAGUGCGUUUUAAACAUUGAGCAUGGUGUCUGCUGUUUUAUGUGAAAACAAAAUAUUCUGUUUCAAUGCUGCAUGUGGGGGUAUUUGUCACGUCUGUGACAAAGCUCUAGUUUUCUAAUUACUUUUUCAAGGGACUUACCCUCAUUUUAACAUUUGUUCUAAUACCCACUUUUAGAAUACAUCAGACAAUGAACCUUGAAAACAAAAUUCUCAGCCUGAGAAAUUCAUACUUAUGACUGUGAGGCAAAAGAAAAAAUAUUGCAACUACUUACACAUUCACUUGACAUAUAUUGCAGUGUCCAUUCUCAACCACAUAUCUACGUUGAUCUGUCGAGCUUAACGUUUGGUAAUUUUUCUGAAGCACCUUAUCAUCACAUGGAUUUAUGCUGAUUGUAACAAGAUGAACAAUCAGGUGCUCAAAACGCACCAAUCCAGGAACGGUGUGAGCGGCAGCCUGCCAGGAGUAUUGAUUGUAGAAUAUUUUCCAAACAUGCUCAUAACUAAGCAUACUCUAUUUGGAGUGUUUGUUAGAUUUGAAAAAGGUAUUCUCCAAGAAUAAAUUUAAUGGCAAAAGGAGGGAAAAAGAGAAAACCAAUUUGCAUGCCAUCAUCCCCUUGUUUUACUACUUCCUCUUUUUUCAUGUCCUUCUGUACCAACCCCAGAAAACUACUUACACAUUCAUUGACAUAAUUAUUCCAGUGUCAAUCCUCUACCACAUAUCUAUGUUGAUCUGUCAAACUUUACCUUUGGUAAUUUUUUUCUGAAGCACCUUAUCAUCACAUGUAUCUAUGUUUAUUGUGACACGGUGUAGAAUCAGGUGCAAAAACAGCACCACUAUGCGGCAGGCUGCGUGUAGCUUGCAUCGCCCUACUUCCGCCGCUGCGACAUCUUUCACGUGACUGUCGAUUGUAGAAUAUAUUGCAAACAUGUUCAUUUCUAAGCACUCUUUUUUUGGAGUGUUUGUUAGACUUUAAUUGGGUAUUCUCCAAGAAUCAAUUAAAUGGCAAAAGGAGAGAAAAAGAGAAAAUCAAUUUGCAUGCCAUAAUCCCUUUGUUUUCCUACUACCUAUUUUCUCACAUCCUGCUGUACCGGCCCCCAAAAAAUACUUACACAAUCACUUGACAUAUAUUACAGUGUCCAUUCUCGAUCACAUGUCUAUGUUGAUCUGUCAAACUUUACAUUUGGUAAUUUUUUAAGAAGCACCUUAUCGUCACAUGUAUCUAUGCUUAUUGUGACAAGGUGUAGAAUCAGGUGCAAAAACAGCACCACUCCAGGCACUAUGUAAACGGCAGGCUGCCAGGAGUAUUGAUUGUUUCCUUUGGUAUUUUUUUCUGAAGCACCUUAUGGUCACAUGGAUCUAUGCUUAUUGUGACCAGGUGCACAAUCAGGUGCGCAAACAGCACCACUCCAGGCACUAUGUGUGGCAAGCUUCCAGGAGUACUGAUUGUUACCUUUGGUAAUUUUUUCUGAAGCACCUUAUGGUCACAUGAAUCAAUGCUUAUUGUGAUAAGGUGUACAAUCAGGUGCCCAAACAGCACAACUCCGGGUACUCUGUGAGCGGCAGGCUGCCAGGAGUAUUGAUUGUAGAAUAUUUUUCAAACAUGCUCUUUACCAAGCAUUCUUUAUUUGGAGUGUUUGUUUGAUUUGAAUAAGGUAUUCUCCAAGAAUAAAUUUAAUGGCAAAAGGAGAGAAAAAGAGAAACCAAUUUGCAUGCCAUCAUCCCCUUGUUUUCCUACUUCCUUUUAUUUCACGUCCUGCUGUACCAGCAACAGAAAUCUACUUACACAUUCACUUGACAUAUAUGACAGUGUCCAUUCUCAAUCACAUGUCUAUGUUGAUCUGUCAAACUUUACGUUUGGUAAUUUUUUCUGAAGCACCUUAUCAUCACAUGGAUCUAUGCUUAUUGUGACCAGGUGUACAAUCAGGUGCACAAACAGUACCACUAUGCGGCAGGCUGCGUGUAGCUUGCAUCGCCCUACUUCCGCCACUGCGACGUCUCUCACGUGACUGUGGAUUGUAGAAUAUCUUGCAAACAUGUUCAUUUCUAAGCACUCUUUAUUUGGAGUGUUUGUUAGACUUGAAUUAGGUACUUUCCAAGAAUCAAUUCAAAGGCAAAAGGAGAGAAAAGGAGAAAACCAAUUUGCAUGCCAUAAUCCCCUUGUUUUCCUACUUCCUCUUUUUCACGUCCUGCUGUACUGGCCCCAAAAAACUACUUACACAAUCUCUUGACAUAUAUUACAGUGUCCAUUCUCGCUCACAUGUCUAUGUUGAUCUGUCAAACUUUACAUUUGGUAAUUUUUUCAGAAGCACCUUAUCGUCACAUGUAUCUAUGCUUAUUGUGACAAGGUGUAGAAUCAGGUGCAAAAACAGCACCACUCCAGGCACUAUGUGAACGGCAGGCUGCCAGGAGUAUUGAUUGUUACCUUUGGUAUUUUUUUCUGAAGCACCUUAUGGUCACAUGGAUCUAUGCUUAUUGUGACCAGGUGCACAAUCAGGUGCGCAAACAACACCACUCCAGGCACUAUGUGUGGCAAGCUUCCAGGAGUACUGAUUGUUACCUUUGGUAAUUUUUUCUGAAGCACCUUAUGGUCACAUGGAUCAAUGCUUAUUGUGAUAAGGUGUACAAUCAGGUGCCCAAACAGCACAACUCCGGGUACUCUGUGAGCAGCAGGCUGCCAGGAGUAUUGAUUGUAGAAUAUUUUUCAAACGUGCUCAUGACCAAGCAUUCUUUAUUUGGAGUGUUUGUUAGAUUUGAAUAAGGUAUUCUCCAAGAAUAAAUUUAAUGGCAAAAGGAGGGAAAAAGAGAAACCAAUUUGAAUACCAUCAUCCCCUUGUUUUCCUACUUCCUUUUUUUUCACGUCCUGCUGUACCAGCCACAGAAAUCUACUUACACAUUCACUUGACAUAUAUGACAGUGUCCAUUCUCAAUCACAUGUCUAUGUUGAUCUGUCAAACUUUACGUUUGGUUAUUUUUUCUGAAGCACCUUAUCAUCACAUGGAUCUUGCUUAUUGUGACCAGGUGUACAAUCAGGUGCACAAACAGCACCACUAUGCGGCAGGCUGCGUGUAGCUUGCAUUGCCCUACUUCCGCCGCUGCGACUUCUUUUACGUGACUGUCGAUUGUAGAAUAUAUUGCAAACAUGUUCAUUUCUAAGCACUCUUUAUUUGGAGAGUUUGUUAGACUUUAAUUAGGUAUUCUCCAAGAAUCAAUUUAAUGGCAAAAGGAGAGAAAAAGAGAAAAUCAAUUUGCAUGCCAUAAUCCCUUUGUUUUCCUACUUCCUAUUUUCUCACGUCCUGCUGUACCGGCCCGAAAAAACUACUUACACAAUCACUUGACAUAUAUUACAGUGUCCAUUCUCGAUCACAUGUCUAUGUUGAUCUGUCAAACUUUACAUUUGGUAAUUUUUUCAGAAGCACCUUAUCGUCACAUGUAUCUAUGCUUAUUGUGACAAGGUGUAGAAUCAGGCGCAAAAACAGCACCACUCCAGGCACUAUGUGAACGGCAGGCUGCCAGGAGUAUUGAUUGUUACCUUUGGUAUUUUUUUCUGAAGCACCUUAUGGUCACAUGGAUCUAUGCUUAUUGUGACCAGGUGCGCAAACAGCACCACUCCAGGCACUUUGUGUGGCAAACUUCCAGGAGUACUGAUUGUUACCUUUGGUAAUUUUUUCUGAAGCACCUUAUGGUCACAUGGAUCAAUGCUUAUUGUGAUAAGGUGUACAAUCAGGUGCCCAAACAGCACAACUCCGGGUACUCUGUGAGCGGCAGGCUGCCAGGAGUAUUGAUUGUAGAAUAUAUUUCAAACAUGCUCAUUACCAAGCAUUCUUUAUUUGGAGUGUUUGUUAGAUUUGAAUAAGGUAUUCUCCAAGAAUAAAUUUAAUGGCAAAAGGAGGGAAAAAGAGAAACCAAUUUGCAUGCCAUCAUCCCCUUGUUUUCCUACUUCCUUUUUUUUCACGUCCUGCUGUACCAGCCACAGAAAUCUACUUACACAUUCACUUGACAUAUAUGACAGUGUCCAUUCUCAAUCACAUGUCUAUGUUGAUCUGUCAAACUUUACGUUUGGUAAUUUUUUCUGAAGCACCUUAUCAUCACAUGGAUCUAUGCUUAUUGUGACCAGGUGUACAAUCAGGUGCACAAACAGCACCACUAUGCGGCAGGCUGCGUGUAGCUUGCAUCGCCCUACUUCCGCUGCUGCGACGUCUUUCACGUGACUGUCGAUUGUAGAAUAUAUUGCAAACAUGUUCAUUUCUAAGCACUCAUUAUUUGGAGUGUUUGUUAGACUUUAAUUAGGUAUUCUCCAAGAAUCAAUUAAAUGGCAAAAGGAGAGAAAAAGAGAAAAUCAAUUUGCAUGCCAUAAUCCCUUUGUUUUUCUACUUCCUAUUUUCUCACGUUCUGCUGUACCGGCCCCAAAAAACUACUUACACAUUCACUUGACAUAGAUUUCAGUGUACAUCCUCUACCACAAAUCUAUGAUGAUCUGUCAAACUUAAUUUUGGUAAUUUUUUCAGAAGCACCUUAUCGUCACAUGUAUCUAUUCUUAUUGUGACCAGGUGUACAAUCAGGACUGGUCCAUGAACAUCACCACUCCAGGCACUAUGUGCGGCAGGCUUCCAGGAGUAUUGAUUGUAGAAUAUUUUCCAAACAUGCUCAUUUCUAAGCACUCUUUAUAGCACUGGUGCGGUGCCUCUCAUUAGAAAUGAUUCACACAUAAGACACCUUUGCUACUUGUAUUGUGUAUGCCCCUAUCACAGGAACCAUAUUUCCUACGAGAGAUGAAAAUAACUUUAACAGUAGAAAGCCGUCCAUUGUAUUUCCCAUAAAAAAAUGAGCGUAUGCACAGAAUAACAUAUAGAAAAACUGAUGUUUUCUUGUAAAAUUUCAAUUUACAUGAAAUAUAGUGUCAGAGAGGAUUUUUUAUUUUUGCUUGCUCUUACAGCAACACACGCCUCCCUUCUGUGGCGAACAAUUUAUUGUUUAGUUAAAUUGUUUUAACGGCGGACUGUAGAGUAUCACAAGUUUCCCUGCCACAUUGGAUUUUACUUUAGUUUAAAUCCAUUUUCAAACACAAAUGAAAAAUUCUAUUAAUUUCCACCUUUUAAUAGUCCCAAUUAAAUUCAAACAUUUUAAUUUUAUUGAACGUUCAUAAUUUCACAUUUAUUUUAUUUUAGUAUUUUAGCAUCACACUUGUAUGAACUUUUAAACUUAACUGAAUCAGAACAUAUCAAGACUUAUUAAAAACUUGCUAUAUGUGAGUUUGAAACAAAGGAAACGUCAAAAUCGUGAAAAUCAAGAAUAUUGAGAUUAGCAUGACAGCUGCGGGGUUUCUGACGGAGCUUAUGCUCCGUCAGCAAGUAAACAAACGAACGUAUUCGCUAUUCACGACUAUCCUGCCAAACAAAGUUUACAGACUAAAAAUAAUACUGAUUAUAUAAACUAAAAUAAUAAUGGUUAUAGCUUAAAAUAAGAUGUACAUCUCAUUACCUUAAAAUGUAACAUUUGGACCCUAUAUACAAGUAAUAGAACGAUUUAAUGUUAAUUAUUUAACUGAAUAAUCAACGAUACAUAUUAUGAUUCUGCUAGUAUAAUAAUAAAUCAAACUUUUCAACUUAUUUGAUUCUAAGUUUGUAUUACUUUAUACAAGUACAUGUCAUAAUUAUUUCAAAUAUAGUAUUACAAGUAGACAGUUGUCAUAUUACUUUAUAUGUAGUUAUUUUUUAAUGUUUUGUGAACAUUAACUAAUACUUGGUUUCUUAACACAUAUAACUGUUCAUAACGUUCACGUUACAACAUUACGUAAAUUCCAUAUUGGUUCCAAAUAUUAUUUGAGCACUUUAUUUACGCACACAAUUUUGUUUUUAUUUUAGUUCAGUUUUCUUGUUCAUAGUAGUCAUAGUGCGCAUUUACUCGCAGAACAUAUUCCUGUCUGUCACCAAUGCAAACACUUUUCGAGACUGCGAAAUUCCAAACCUUAGUUUUAUAUUAGAUGUAUUUCUUGCGACUUCCCUCGCAUCUGGUUCAACAAUAAUACACAAUGUCAGAUUUAUCUCUGCUAUUGUCGCCUGAAAUGACAAUAUAGUCUACAUUGCUGGCAGCGUCAUCAACGCUUUCUUAAUGUUCACUGCCGUUGCCGACGUCGUUAUUAAAAUUCAAGUCGAUUGUACUUUUGACGUCACAUGUAUUAUUCUCGGCAAUGUCCUUGAUGUUAUUCAUAUUCGCGCCGAGCUCACUCUCACCAUCACUUAUAUUAUUCCCGUCAACACAUUCGCUAUAAUCGCUAGAGAUAUCAAUAUAGUCCACAUUGCCGGCAGCGUCGUCAAUGCUUUCUUGUUCAUUGUCAUGGUCAGCGUUAUCAUUCAUAUUAACGUUGAUUUCACUUUCAAUGUCACUUAUAGUAUUCUCGGCAACGUUAUCCUCUAGGACAUAAUCAGAGUUGACGCUAUGCGUGUCUUGUUCAUCAACGUUGCUAACGUCAUUACUGUCAACAUGGCAACGUCGUCGACAGUUUCCUAAACCUCUGCGCUAUCAUUAUCACUAGUUUCUAUUUCUUGGUCAGAACUGCUGUUGACGUUACUCUUGGAUUAACUUUUGACGUUAUCAUUAUCAACGUCGAAUUCACUUUCAACGUUAUCGUUAUCAACGUCAUCCUCUGAAUUAACACCAGAAUAUCCUGCCACGCCCAUUUCGACACUAUCAUUAUCUAGUUAACGUAUCACCUGCAGCGUCAGUCAUCAUAUCACUAUCAUUUGCUUCCAUAUCAUUCUUGUUUUCUUCACUAGGUUCGGUUUCUUCAAACUUGCUCAAGUAAAAUUCCUCAAUCACAGACUCAAACUCUUUCACAAAGUCAUUGUAUGAAAUCAAAUCUUUUAUUGAAUCGUCUUCACUGACGUCAUCAUAGUACGCGAUCUGAGGGGUCUGGUUUCCCCUAAGUGCUGAGACAGCAUCCUCCCAGGCCUUCUAUGGCGCAAUAUCAUGUUAUCGUGUGGAUGCUGUAAUCUUCGAAUCACAAUUGCAGUCCUCCAGUUCGGUAUAUUAUUUGAUAUUUCAAUUGAAAGUCCACUUAUUAUAACGACCAGCACUUUGUAUCAGCACGGACGCUGGUAUUUCAAUAGUAUGCUGUGUUCUUUAUAUGUGUAAUCAUAUUGAAUACACUGGACAUUAAGCUUUAAACUGUACUUGUUGCAGCAUAUUUUCCAGUUUAUUGAUUGCCCAGAUUUCUCUCAAGCAAUCUUUCCUCAUAAUCAUAAUUGGAAUAUGCAGGACAUAAAAUAAUAAAUUGUUUCAACAUAUUUUUCAAAGUUAUUUCAUUCCUGAUGACUCUUUCUAGCAUCUUUUCCCCAAAAUCAUAUGUUGAAUAAGUGUUAUAUAUGAAUCGUUUAUCAUCACUGGCCAAAAGCAGAGGGAUAUAGAGUUGGAGUUGUCCUUCUGUGUGUCUGUCACACAAUUUAUAUUUGUAGGGGGAUAUCAAUUUUACAAAUGUUCUUGUUUCUUGUAGUUUUAUGCCACAGAAGGGUGGUUGCAAAAUGUUAUCGGUCAUCUUAUUUUAUAUUUGCAUAAAACCAAUUGGGUGGUUGCUGUGAUUUUAUCUUAGAAUCACAAUUCAGCAUGCAGUCCUCCAGUUUAGUAUAUUAUUUGAUAUUCCAAUAGAAAGUCCACUAUAACGACCAGCACUUCUAAUCAGCAUGGACGCUGGUAUUUCAAUAGUAUGCUGUGUUCCUUAUAUGUGUAAUCAUAUUGAAUACACUGGACAUUAAACUUUAAACUGUACUUGUUGCAGCAUAUUUUCCAGUUUAUUGAUUGCUCAGAUUUCUCUCAAGCAAUCUUUCCUCAUAAUCAUAAUUGGAAUAUGCAGGACAUAAAAUAAUAAAUUGUUUCAACAUAUUUUUCAAAGUUAUUUCAUUGCUGAUCACUCUUUCUAGCAACUUUUCCUCAUAAUCAAAUGUUGAAUUUGUGUGAUAUAUGAAUCCUAAAAUAUUAUUCCUGGCAAAAGAAAAAGAGAUAUAGAGUUGGCAUUGUCCAUCCAUAUUUCUGUUUCUUUUGGGGAUAUCAAUAUCAAUUCAACCAAUUUGCUGUUUCUUGUAGUUUUUAUACCACAGCAUUGGUAAUGAUUUGUGGAAUUCCUCCUUCCCAGGGGUCAUUAUGUCCCAAAUGUUUAGGGAUGUCAUCCUACAUUUGUAUUAGAAAUGUUAAGAAAAUGUUCAACUGAUAGUAGCCUAUAAACCUGAUUCUUAUUAGCCUUUCUAUGUUUUUUUCAUGUAAUCAAUAGAUCUCUAUGAACGGAAGAAAUAAUCCACAUAUGCAUCUUACAGAAUUAUUUAAAUGCAAAAUAUUAAAUCAACAAGACAUCCAUGUUUCAAUUUUUUCCUUUAACCAUGUCCGAUUUAUUGUGGUGACAUCUUAUGUGUGCCCCCCUUCAGUAUUUUUGACAUCUUAUGUAGGCUCUGAUUUUGCAGAAAUAUGUUACAUCAGCUCCAGAAAAAUGCCUGCUUAAACCAGAUGGGGAUUUAUUGCUCUUUUAUAUUUGAUUAGAUGUAAUAACAUACAAUAGUAUCAAUUUUAAUAAGUGUCCUUGACCACCUUUACAAUAGUAUACUGUAAUUCCUUCGGAAUGUUUACCAAUGUAUGCAUAUUCCAUGUAGCUUUUUUUUGCAACUUUUCUUUAUAAUCAUAACUUGAACAUGCAGGACCCAAUAUUUUUGGUUUCUUCAAGUAUUUUUCCGAUGCGUAUACAUUAUGUAGCAUAUAAUUUUUGCUACUCAUAGUUUUUGUAAUGCACUGGAGAUGAAACAUGAAAUUAAUUAUUUAUUGUUUGAAACAUGUUUUCCACAGCGUAUUGAUUGCUUAGCACUCUCUCAUGCAAUCAUUCCUUGUAAUCGUUUCGAAAAUAAGCCAGACAUUAUUAUUCCUUGUUUCCUGUAUUUGUUGCAACAUAUUGAGUAUAGUUUGCUUAUAGCUUAAAACUCUUGCCAGCAUCUUUUCUUCAUAAUGAUAUUUGGAGCAUACUGGACAUGUAACCUUAAAUUGUUUUUUACAUUUGUUUUAAUAUAUUUUCCAGAAUUUGUCCAUCGCUCAGUCUUUUUAUCAAUCUUUCUUUCAAUCCAACAUACUGUCCUGUAGGAGAGGGGUACUGUGCUCGGAUCUUCAGGACACAGCAACUUGGUAUCACUCUCCUAACCCCUGCUCCCAGACGUCCCCACCUCCACAACGUCUAAUGGCGGUUCCGCUUGCGGACAUCCUCAAUUCUUUGGCACCUCCUUGCCAAAACUGCCCUGUAAUAAUUAUGGCCUAAAGCAAGGACCUGUGGAUCCAACACUAGUAUGUCAAUCUUCUGAAUUGAGAAAAAUAAAAAAAUAUAAACAAUUGCUUGAGAAAUAGAGGUAGGACACAGUUAUCCUAAAGGUGCAAUUAAGAUGAUAAGUCUUGAUGGUCCGAACAAGUAUGGUAGACCUGGUUUAGGCUGUAGACUGGUUUAGAUAGGUCAGAAUAUAUGGGAAAAUCUUCAUUCAACAUUUUCAGACACUUCCCCUCAUCUUGAGGUUUAGCCUCCCCAUUCAACUUGAAGAACAUGUAUUUAUCUGGAAGUUGUCUUCUUGUGGAUGUCAGGGCCCGUAUUUUCCCCAGUUUUCUAAGAACAUGGCCGAAUAUUCACGGGCCAGCAACUUUUGGUUGGCAGUGUUGGCCAAUCCAAUUGUGACCAACACAUCUCUAGGUCCCAAACAUAAACUUGAUUUCACUCACUCUGGACCAAUUUCUUUUUGUCGGAGGACAAAUGGGCAUCUAUCCCCUAUCUUUCCUAACUUUUUCAAAGAAAUGGCCUCAUAUUCCAGGGCCAGCAGCCUUUGGUCAGCUGUAAGUUUGCGCCAAUCCAAUGGUGGCCAACACUUCUCUAGGUCCCCAGGCAUACACUUGAUUUCCCUCACUCUGGACCCAUCCAUUCUGGGGCGGGAGGACAAAUAGGCAUAGAUCACCUCUCCAAGAUCCAUCAUGCCCUGUAACAUAGAACUGGGGAUUCCAAUACCUUUGCAAUAGACAAAACACUGCUGCUACUCUCUGAUUUAUCGUGAGGUGGCAUUUUUCCCUCCCUUGGCAUGAGAUUGCACAUUUGUAUGGUCUGUUUGACGUUCACAUUAGCUUGGCAUUUAGAGAUGGACUUUUCUGAUUUCACUAAGUGAGCUUAUACUCAAUGUUAAAAACAUAUACUGUGGGCUAGUUCGUCAAACUUGAAAAAUUCACAAAAUUAAGGGUCCCAUGCCCCUUUCAAAAUGUAUUUGAAUAAGAAAAGCAUCAUUUUGACACGGAUUAGAAGAUAAAAUAAAAGUGCUCUAGGGUGAAAGUUAAAAUUUAAGGCAUACACACAUGCAUCAUUAUUGUCAUAAUAAUUGUGUCAUGAAAUUUCAAAAUGAUUAUUACUGACGUAUUGCAAGAGCAGAAUGAUGUAACUUAUGGUGCUUUUCUGUUGUUUUUGUUAAUAUUUGAGCCACUAGGUGGAUUGCUUUCAUACGCCGAGAGCCAGAUUACCCGAGUCCAAACUCAGUGGAACCAACAUUUAUCGAAAAUAAAAAAACUGGGAACAAGUCCCUUCAAUAUACAGAGGAGAACAAUUAUUAUUAUAAGAUGGAAAAUAGAACUUUUAUUUUUUCACAGUUGAAUGUGCAAUGAUAAGAAAAUCAGUAAAUAUAGAGUUAGCAAAAAAUAAAGCAGAUAAUAAAAGAAUGUUACUGUUGUGCAAAAUCUUAUUGGUUUGUGGAUAAGAGUUUUGCAGUGGCACUAAACACCAAAGAUUAACAACUAUAUAGACAGUCACACACAUUAGUUUAGCUAAUUGCAACAAAAUUAAUAUCAUAAUAAAGGUCUCUAGAGUUUGUGUGAUCCGUAAAAGAGCAAGUUCACAUGUAAUUUUCAUGAACAGUACAGAGAUGAUGGCAAUAGUCCACAAUCUGAGCUGCAACCUGGACAGGUCAUGGGAAGACACCUGAAAAAAACAACUUUGCUUAUAAAUUGGUACUUUAUUGAUAAAUGUAGCUUUGUUCUGGGAAGACAGGGUAUAAUGCAUGUCCGUUAUGUGUCUCCAAGAGGAGCCCAUAUACACUGCUCAGGCUAAUUAGGCACAAAACUUAAGGCACAUACAUCAAGCCCAGAUUUCCCUGAGCAUAGCUCAAUAAAUAAUCAAUUGACCACCAAAUAUUUCACAAUUUGUUUGCUGAUCAUAAAAUAUAAUGACAAUUUAAUAGAAUUUAAUGAAAUAGAAACCAUUUUGUGUGUUUUUGUUAAAGAAAUUCAAAAAACACCUUAUUUUGAUUUUUUUUAAUUAAAUUUAAUAACCACCAUUUAUAUUGUGUAUGAAUUUUGUAGUUAAAUCAUUUAAUAUGUUGUCAACAAAAUAAUUUCGUUAUGUUGAAAUAUUCAAUCUAAAUAAAAAGCAGAUAUUAGAUAAAUUCCAUGUAAUCUGUUUUGAAGGAAUUCAGUACAUUUGUAUGAAAUGUAUUUAUCAUCAUUCAAUAUGUUGUUUUUGAAAAUCAAAUGAAGACAAUUUACCUGUAAUGUGAUGUUUUAAUUGUCCACCAAUGCGUGUAUUGUUAUUUAAAUGAAAUGAUUUUCUUUGUGAUCUUGAAUAGUGCACUUAAUGUUCUUUAUGAAUUUUUGUGAUAAGUAAAAAAAUGUACUUGUGUUUUUCAUGAAUAAGAUGACAAGUAUAAAUGCAUGUCCAUGUUACCGAACAUACACACACUUAAUGUUAGCACUGUAUUACACAGAAUUUGUAUGGAGCAAACAAGGAAUUCUUUAAUGCAUAAUAAUGCAGAAAAAGCUUAAUUGGGCAUAUAAAUUGUCAGGGGAACAGUCUUGAUACAUGAAAUGUAUUUGAAGAUUAUACCCAAUUUACCCAUUAGUCUAAAGUGGGUUCAUAAGUAUCUUGUUACUCAUUUAAUAAAUAGGGAUUCUGGAAAUAUAGUCUGUGUCUGUGAGAGUACGUGAUCAAAGGCAUGUUUCUCCAUAAUUGUAUCAUAUUAUUAUGCAAUUCUGUUAAUCAAGUAAUUGGAUGUCAGACUAUUGCUGUGGCUCAUAUGUGGCUCAUAUGUAAUAUUUUACAUAUAAUUUGUAAGUUUUUGUUGUAAAAAUUGCUUUGGUUAUGUUAAUAUUUAUGCCCCCCUUCGAAGAAGAGGGGGUAUAUUGCUUUGCACAUGUCGGUCGGUCUGUCGGUUGGUCGGUCUGUCCACCAGGUGGUUUCCGGAUGAUAACUCAAGAAUGCUUAGGCCUAGAAUCAUGAAACUUCAUAGGUACAUUAAUCAUGACUAGCAGAUGACCCCUAUUGAUUUUGAGGUCACUAGGUCAAAGGUCAAGGUUACUGUGACCCGAAAUAGUAAAAUGGUUUCCGGAUGAUAAUUCAAGAACGCUUAUGCCUAGGAUCAUGAAACUUUAUAGGUAGAUUGAUCAUGACUCGCAGAUGACCCCUAUUGAUUUUUUAGGUCAAAGGUCAAGGUCACAGUGACCUGAAAUAGCAAAAUGGUUUCCCGAUGAUAACUCAAGAAAGCUUAUGGCUAGGAUCAUGAAAAUUCAUAGGUACAUUGAUCAUGACUCGCAGAUGACCCCCAUUGAUUUUCAGGUCACUAGGUCAAAGGUCAAGGUCACAGUGACAAAAAACAUAUUUACAAAAUGGCUGUCACUACAACUGAGAGCCCAUAUGGGGGGCAUGCAUGUUUUACAAACAGCCCUUGUUUGUAUUUUUAUGUGUCAUAAUUGAUUCAGGUUUGAGAUCAAUUGUGUUCCCAUGGAAACAGUACAGUAUUUAUAAUGUAAAAAUGCAAUAGUAUUCACAAAUUAUUACAUGUAAUACAUUACAAGUAUUUUGCAAUUGCUUAAUCAUUUCUGCCAUGUGUUCAUAGAGAUCAUUGAGCUAUUUUUAGUUGCAUAUUAUGUCUCUGCUAACCACAUUAUUCCUCUGAAGUAUUAUAUGUGCUCAGAGACUGCUAUGAUUUGUCUUUAUGUCAUCUUUUUUUAUGUGAGAAGUUGUAAUAUACAUUUGUUCUUCAUAACACAUUUUUUUAUUAUGUGUUCUGCUAUUAUACAUGUUGUUUCUUUAUUAAAAAUAAUUAUUGCGGA